UAGAGAGAGAGAGAGAUUUGAACUCGUAUCGCUGGAUUCAGAGUCCAGAGUGCUAACCAUUACACCAUG